UACGUAGGGGGGCAAGCGUUGUCCGGAUUUAUUGGGCGUAAAGAGCUCGUAGGCGGUUCCGUAAGUCGUGAAGUCAAAUCUCUGGGCUCAACCCCAGAAUCGCUUCCGAUACUGCGGUGACUGGAGUCCGGUAGGGGAGUGUGGAAUUCCUGGUGUAGCGGUGAAAUGCGCAGAUAUCAGGAGGAACACCAACAGCGAAGGCAGCACUCUGGGCCGGUACUGACGCUGAGGAGCGAAAGCAUGGGGAGCGAACAGG
rnacentral:rRNA from 1 species